GGGACAACAGCCAGAAAUGGCUGCUAAUACCGCAUAAGCCUGCUGUGCCGCAUGGCACAGCAGGGAAAACCACGGUGGUACAGGAUGGGCCCGCGUCUGAUUAGUUAGUUGGCAGGGUAACGGCCUACCAAGACAACGAUCAGUAGCCGGCUUGAGAGAGUGGACGGCCACAUUGGGACUGAGACACGGCCCAGACUCCUGCGGGAGGCAGCAGUGGGGAAUAUUGCACAAUGGGGGGAACCCUGAUGCAGCAAUGCCGCGUGGGUGAAGAAGCACUCCGGUGUGUAAAGCCCUGUCAGCAGGGAAGAAAAUGACAGUACCUGGACAAGAAGCCCCGGCUAACUACGUGCCAGCAGCCGCGGUAAUACGUAGGGGGCAAGCGUUAUCCGGAUUUACUGGGUGUAAAGGGAGCGCAGGCGGCGUGGCAAGUCAGAUGUGAAAACCCGGGGCCCAACCCCGGGAGUGCAUUUGAAACUGCCAUGCUGGAGUGCCGGAGAGGUAAGCGGAAUUCCUAGUGUAGCGGUGAAAUGCGUAGAUAUUAGGAGGAACACCAGUGGCGGAGGCGGCUUACUGGACGGUAACUGACGCUGAGGCUCGAAAGCGUGGGGAGCAAACAGGAUUAGAUACCCUGGUAGUCCACGCCGUAAAC
rnacentral:rRNA from 1 species